GGGAGGCAGCAGUGGGGAAUAUUGGACAAUCGGCGAAAGCGGGAUCCAGCAAUGCCGCGUGAGUGAAGAAGGCCUUAGGGUUGUAAAGCUCUUUUGCCAGGGAUGAUAAUGACAGUACCUGGAGAAUAAGCUCCGGCUAACUCCGUGCCAGCAGCCG
rnacentral:rRNA from 1 species